rnacentral:rRNA from 1 species
UACGGAGGGCGCAAGCGUUGUUCGGAAUUACUGGGCGUAAAGCGCGUGUAGGCGGCUGAGUAAGUCGGGUGUGAAAGCCCGGGGCCCAACCCCGGAACUGCACCCGAUACUGCUCGGCUGGAGUCCCGGAGAGGAUGGCGGAAUUUCCGGUGUAGAGGUGAAAUUCGUAGAUAUCGGAAGGAACACCAGUGGCGAAGGCGGCCAUCUGGACGGUGACUGACGCUGAGGUGCGAAAGCGUGGGGAGCAAACAGG